GAAAUCUGGUACUUUCAGUGCCCGAGUUGUAAUUUGUAGAAUUUGUCUUUGAUUAGGUCCUUGUCUAUGUUCCUUGGAACAGGACGUCAUAGAGGGUGAGAAUCCCGUUUGGCGAGGAUACCUUUUCUUUGUAAGACUUUUUCGAAGAGUCGAGUUGUUUGGGAAUGCAGCUCAAAGUGGGUGGUAAAUUCCAUCUAAAGCUAAAUAUUGGCGAGAGACCGAUAGCGAACAAGUACAGUGAUGGAAAGAUGAAAAGAACUUUGAAAAGAGAGUGAAAAAGUACGUGAAAUUGUUGAAAGGGAAGGGCAUUUGAUCAGACAUGGUGUUUUUUGCAUGCACUCGCCUCUCGUGGGCUUGGGCCUCUCAAAAAUUUCACUGGGCCAACAUCAAUUCUGGCAGCAGGAUAAAUCAUUAAGAAUGUAGCUACUUCGGUAGUGUUAUAGCUUUUUGGAAUACUGUUAGCCGGGAUUGAGGACUGCGCUUCGGCAAGGAUGUUGGCAUAAUGGUUAAAUGCCGCCCG
rnacentral:rRNA from 1 species